rnacentral:lncRNA from 1 species
AGAUGGAGCAUAUCCCCAAACAUUAAUUCCUGCAUCUGCUUGUGUUUUCUUUCUGCCACAUCAUUGCUCCUCAAAGUUUUACAGUGUAGGACUGAUACUGUAGCUUUCAAUUUUCUACAAAAUCUUCUCUGGGUGCAGAAUAUUUUUUUUCAGAGUAUUUGGGUAAGCUGCUGUGUCUUGGCUAUGUGAGUGUGUGUGAAUCUCCUGACUUACUGAAGCCAAGAACGGUAACAAAUCCGCCUUGUGGGGAGGUGUGAUUAUUGGCCUGAGGAACGAUUCUUUUAUCCUAAUAUCCUAACUUUCUCAAAAGGGAAAGGGAAGGUGAUGGAAGUCUCUGGUCUCCAGAAACUGUAGAGAAGGUCCCAUGGAGUUUUCACUCAUAAAGCUGCUGUAUAAAAAAAUCUGUUUGUGUUUAGUCACCUCUUGUGCUUUUUGCUUUAAAAGAAAUGGUGUUUGAAAUCAGCUUUUCCCUGUUUAACUCUUGUGGGUACUCGUGCCCUUGGUGCCAUUGACCAAAUAAGUGGGGGAAGAGGAGUGUCAGAGUGGUGGACUUGAACAAAGAGAUGCUUCUGAAAGAGCUCAGCCUCCUUACGUGGGCUGUAUUCCAAAUGCAACGUUUCAUUGCUGGCUACGCAAGUAGAAAGAGUGACCGUUAAAAAAGCCAAAGUAUUCUUUUUUUUUUUUCUUUUUCCUGGUGUUUUAGCUGAACAGAGUUAGGAUUUACAUAUGCUGUGUGUGCUCACUUCUUUGAAGAAAACAGAUCGCUCUAGCUGUACGCUUGUAACUGCAGCUGUCCGGACACACCCUUCCCCCUGUUUUGAUUUGUUUUUAGAGGUGCUGCAUCGUGUGGCAGCCACUCUCCUUCCCUGUGUGCUAAUCCUAGAGGGAGGUUACUGGGUAGCUGGCGAGAUGCUUGACCGGUGGGUGGAUGCUAUCGGCGUGUUCUGGAGUCUUUUGCCUCGUUCUCCCUUCCCUGCCCCUAGCUCACGGUGAGUGUAAGGAUCCAGCAACAGUUCUGUCGGUGGUCAAACUUCUGCAAAAGGUCUUUGUGUAUGUGCAGGAAUCACAGCUCUUUCUACAAGCGUGACUGCUCCGUACCACCUCUCUUUGCUUGUAGAGGUACUGGACCAAAUCCCCAUGCUGAAUCUGAAAUUAGCACCCCUCCUUUUGUGUGCUCAUUUUUUUUUUUUUUGUACUUUAAUACCUUCUUUCUGGGUGGUUUAUUUUAACCCCAGAUUGUCUAGAGGAAAAAACAAAACUAGGAACUGUGUAGUUACUUAAGAGAUGACAAUAAAACGACUUAAUUCAGAGUAAAUGAAUGAAGU